rnacentral:rRNA from 1 species
UGGCGGCGUGCCUAUCAUGNCAGUCGAGCGACCACUUCGGUGGUGAGCGGCGAACGGGUGAGUAACACGUAGGUGAUCUGCCCAUCAGACGGGGACAACGAUUGGAAACGAUCGCUAAUACCGGAUAGGACGAAAGUUUAAAGGUGCUCCUGGCACCGCUGAUGGAUGAGCCUGCGGCGCAUUAGCUAGUUGGUAGGGUAAAGGCCUACCAAGGCGACGAUGCGUAGCCGACCUGAGAGGGAACGGCCACACUGGGACUGAGACACGGCCCAGACUCCUACGGGAGGCAGCAGUAGGGAAUCUUCGGCAAUGGGCGAAAGCCUGACCGAGCAACGCCGCGUGAAUGAUGAAGGCCUUCGGGUUGUAAAAUUCUGUUAUAAGGGAAGAACGACUUUAGUAGGAAAUGGCUAAAGUGUGACGGUACCUUAUGAGAAAGCCACGGCUAACUACGUGCCAGCAGCCGCGGUAAU